rnacentral:rRNA from 1 species
CCUACGGGGGGCAGCAGUCGAGAAUUUUCGGCAAUGGGGGAAACCCUGACCGUGCAACGCCGCGUGAACGAAGGAGUGAUUCGUGAUGUAAAGUUCUUGUAACAGGGAAGAAAGAGAAAUUGGACGGUACCUGAAGAAUAAGCUCCGGCUAACUAGGUGCCAGCGGCGGCGGUAAUAAGUAGGGUGCGAGCGUUAUCCGGAAUUAUGGGGCGUAAAGGGUGCGUAGAUGGCAUAGUAAGUCUGUUGGAAAAAUGCUGGGCUCAACCCAGUAAGGCAAAAGAUACUGCAAAGCUAGAGUAUGACAGAGGCAAGUGGAACUAUAGGUGUAGCGGUAAAAUGCGUAAAUAUAUGUAAGAACACCAGUGGCGAAGGCGGCUUGCUGGGUCGAUACUGACACUGAGGCACGAAAGCGUGGGGAGCAAACAGGAUUAGAUACCCCAGUAGUC